ACGUCCUCCACCUUCUUCACACUUGACUUUUUCUUUUUUCACUUUUUGAACUUUAUAAGAUAAAUCUUUUCCGAAUGUUCCAGUUCUUGAGACAUAAAUUAUGACAUCUAUCUGCUGACAUGUACCCGACUGAGCUUUGCAGUGCAGACACACUCAUUCUGACACACUUGGAAAUGAGAAAAAUAACAGUUUUUAAUAGACAAUUCAUCCAGAUGUAAUCAGAUGUAAGUAGGGCAUUGAAAAACAUGCAGACACACCAUCUUUGAUGCUUGGAGUACCCGCUCCUGAUUUCAACCAAACAUCUGAUCAUUUACCACCCACUACCGGACAGUUUGUAUGUAGAUUGUUGUAUUUGCUAUUUAGGACAACUGUCCAGUUUUCCUACUUGGAAAUUUGCAAAUAUCUGAAAGAAAUGAGAUCUUAAGGAAAUCAGGAGUGGAAGACAUCAAUAAUUCCAGUUUCUUUCUCAGGGAUCUAUCGGUAAAAACGGACUGAAGGGGGAGCCUGGAUUACCAGGAUCAAAAGGAUAUCCUGGAAAACUGGGAUCUCCAGGAAUCCAAGGGCCUGUAGGAAUGAAUGUGAGUGACUACUAAAACUUGAAUGCAUUUACAUCACAUAAACUUGUAGAAAAAUUGGGAUGUUAAUCGAGCAAAAACUCUGGUGGUAGAGGAAUGCAGGGCAGACGAGGAGAGCCAGGAGACAAAGGGGCUGAAGGUAAACGUGGCAUACAUGGACUGGAGGGAAAUAAAGGCUCAAAGGGUAAAAGGGGUAAAAGAGGACCAAAAGGAAAACAAGGCUCCCCAGGUGAGAUGGGCUCACCUGGACCGAAAGGAUACAGAGGACCUCCUGUAAGAUGAUUGGGACCAUUUCUCUGCUCCAAACAGUAAAACUAAAUUACAAUGAUUUUCAAUAUUAAACAAACAUAGGUUUUUGCUUCUUUUUUUAAUUUUUUUAAUUCACCCUGGUUUCACCUUUUCUAUCCGCCGCUUUCCGUCAGACGCUACAGAGCUAUACCAACUAGAACAGACCUAGGAACAGUUUUUUUUCCUAAAAGCUUUCUGUUUACUAAAUGUCAAUUAUGCACUUGAAUCUUUUGAAUUGAAUUUUCUGCCCACUUUAAAGAAAUGUCCCUGAAUCUAAUUAUGCCAUGUAUAAUGACAAUAAGGCCUUUUAUUCUAUUCUAUGUACAUAUUAUUA